CCUACGGGUGGCAGCAGCGGGGAAUAUUGGGCAAUGGGCGCAAGCCUGACCCAGCAACGCCGCGUGACGGAAGCAGGCUUUCGGGUUGUAAACUUCUUUUCUCAGGGACGCAGCAAGUGACGGUACCUGCGGAAUAAGCCACGGCUAACUACGUGCCAUCAGCCGCGGUAAUACGUAGGGGGCAAGCGUUAUCCGGAUUUACUGGGUGUAAAGGGCGUGUAGGCGGGACUGCAAGUCAGAUGUGAAAACCACGGGCUCAACCUGGGGCCUGCAUUUGAAACUGGAGUUCGUGAGUACUGGAGAGGCAGAAGGAAUGCCUAGUGUAGCGGUCAAAUGCGUAGAUAUGAGGAGGAACACCAGUGGCGAAGGCGGUCGGCUGGACAGCAACUGACGCUGAGGCGCGAAAGCGUGGGGAGCAAACAGGAUUAGAUACCCGAGUAGUC
rnacentral:rRNA from 1 species